rnacentral:rRNA from 1 species
AUGUGGAGCCGUAGCGAAAGCGAGUCUGAAUAGGGCGUUGAGUAUUUGGUCGUAGACCCGAAACCAGGUGAUCUACCCAUGGUCAGGUUGAAGUUCAGGUAACACUGAAUGGAGGACCGAACCGACUUACGUUGAAAAGUGAGCGGAUGAACUGUGGGUAGCGGAGAAAUUCCAAUCGAACUUGGAGAUAGCUGGUUCUCUCCGAAAUAGCUUUAGGGCUAGCCUCAAGUGAUGAUUAUUGGAGGUAGAGCACUGUUUGGACGAGGGGCCCCUCUCGGGUUACCGAAUUCAGACAAACUCCGAAUGCCAAUUAAUUUAACUUGGGAGUCAGAACAUGGGUGAUAAGGUCCGUGUUCGAAAGGGAAACAGCCCAGACCACCAGCUAAGGUCCCAAAAUAUAUGUUAAGUGGAAAAGGAUGUGGCGUUGCCCAGACAACUAGGAUGUUGGCUUAGAAGCAGCCAUCAUUUAAAGAGUGCGUAAUAGCUCACUAGUCGAGUGACACUGCGCCGAAAAUGUACCGGGGCUAAACAUAUUACCGAAGCUGUGGAUUGUCCGUAGGACAAUGGUAGGAGAGCGUUCUAAGGGCGUUGAAGCAUGAUCGCAAGGACAUGUGGAGCGCUUAGAAGUGAGAAUGCCGGUGUGAGUAGCGAAAGACGGGUGAGAAUCCCGUCCACCGAUUGACUAAGGUUUCCAGAGGAAGGCUCGUCCGCUCUGGGUUAGUCGGGUCCUAAGCUGAGGCCGACAGGCGUAGGCGAUGGAUAACAGGUUGAUAUUCCUGUACCACCUAGCAUCGUUUUAAUCGAUGGGGGGACGCAGUAGGAUAGGCGAAGCGUACGAUUGGAUUGUACGUCCAAGCAGUGAGAUUGAGUGUUAGGCAAAUCCGGCACUCUUAAGAUUGAGCUGUGAUGGGGAGAGGAAAUUGUUUCCUCGAGUCGUUGAUUUCACACUGCCGAGAAAAGCCUCUAGAUAGAUAAUAGGUGCCCGUACCGCAAACCGACACAGGUAGUCAAGAUGAGAAUUCUAAGGUGAGCGAGCGAACUCUCGUUAAGGAACUCGGCAAAAUGACCCCGUAACUUCGGGAGAAGGGGUGCUCUUUAGGGUGCAAGCCCAGAAGAGCCGCAGUGAAUAGGCCCAAGCGACUGUUUAUCAAAAACACAGGUCUCUGCUAAACCGUAAGGUGAUGUAUAGGGGCUGACGCCUGCCCGGUGCUGGAAGGUUAAGAGGAGU